AUGGAAAGACGAGAAGAAACUGAAUCGGAAAAUGUAAUUUUUUUUGAAAAUGUCGCUUUUCGCGGCAGUGCCGCCGUGAGGCUAGCUGGCCGCGACCGCGUUUCUCUCUCUCUCUCUCACCUCGGUCGUCUCUCAUUCUUUCCUAUAUCUUUUAUUUUCCGUUUUUUUGUUUUUUUAAAAGAGAAACAAAUACGAUGA